rnacentral:rRNA from 1 species
GGGAACGUACCUUUUGGUUCGGAACAACACAGGGAAACUUGUGCUAAUACCGGAUAAGCCCUUACGGGGAAAGAUUUAUCGCCGAAAGAUCGGCCCGCGUCUGAUUAGCUAGUUGGUAGGGUAACGGCCUACCAAGGCGACGAUCAGUAGCUGGUCUGAGAGGAUGAUCAGCCACAUUGGGACUGAGACACGGCCCAAACUCCUACGGGAGGCAGCAGUGGGGAAUAUUGGACAAUGGGGGCAACCCUGAUCCAGCCAUGCCGCGUGAGUGAUGAAGGCCCUAGGGUUGUAAAGCUCUUUUGUGCGGGAAGAUAAUGACGGUACCGCAAGAAUAAGCCCCGGCUAACUUCGUGCCAGCAGCCGCGGUAAUACGAAGGGGGCUAGCGUUGCUCGGAGUCACUGGGCGUAAAGGGUGCGUAGGCGGGUCUUUAAGUCAGGGGUGAAAUCCUGGAGCUCAACUCCAGAACUGCCUUUGAUACUGAAGAUCUUAAGUUCGGGAGAGGUGAGUGGAACUGCGAGU